CCUCCCGCCCGCCCGCCCCGCUCCGCUCCGCUCCGCUCCCGCCGUGCCCCGCAGAUGCUGUCGGGGCUGCGCCGCCGCCUCCCCCCCCGGAAGCGACCCACGGCGGCGGAUCCGACGUCGGGCUCUGCAGGAGAUCGUCGCCGGGGCUGCCUCUUUCCCUUCGGUCGCCGUGUGUGUGCCGGACACCUCUGGCAGGACUAACCCUGUGGCUUUUAUGUCCAACGUGCUGUAUGCCUGCAGCAUCCUGUCCGAGACAAAGCUACCUUUCUUUCCUCGUGGGAAUGGACCGGCCGGGCUUUGGCAAUCUGGCCCCUUGAAAGACUAAAGUGACCUCUUGCAGCAGGGGAAGACUGAAGCAAGGGGUGCCAGGAAGAACUGGAGUCUCUGGAGAAUAAAAGCUGGAAGCGUGCCCCCGAAA